CUGUAUUAUAAAAUGGAAAAUGCGUGUAGAUACAAAUUUAUAUGGUAGAAAUUUACUGCAAUUGAGGGAGAAGUAAUCAUCACCCAUGAUGGACGAUGAUGAAUGCCACCACCUUAUCAUACACCGACGACCCAGAAGAUCAGAAGAGUCAAAGUCGCUUUGCCACGUUUACAAAUUCCAAACAUCAUAGUUUGUGUAGAUAUUU
rnacentral:lncRNA from 1 species